GAUGAACGCUGGCGGCGUGCCUAAUACAUGCAAGUCGAGCGAACAGACGAGGAGCUUGCUCCUCUGACGUUAGCGGCGGACGGGUGAGUAACACGUGGAUAACCUACCUAUAAGACUGGGAUAACUUCGGGAAACCGGAGCUAAUACCGGAUAAUAUGUUGAAUCGCAUGGUUCAACAGUGAAAGACGGUCUUGCUGUCACUUAUAGAUGGAUCCGCGCCGCAUUAGCUAGUUGGUAAGGUAACGGCUUACCAAGGCAACGAUGCGUAGCCGACCUGAGAGGGUGAUCGGCCACACUGGAACUGAGACACGGUCCAGACUCCUACGGGAGGCAGCAGUAGGGAAUCUUCCGCAAUGGGCGAAAGCCUGACGGAGCAACGCCGCGUGAGUGAAGAAGGUCUUCGGAUCGUAAAACUCUGUUAUUAGGGAAGAUCAAAUGUGUAAGUAACUAUGCACGUCUUGACGGUACCUAAUCAGAAAGCCACGGCUAACUACGUG
rnacentral:rRNA from 1 species